ACACUCACUGUGAGAUUAGAGAUGGUCCACACACACUGUGAGAUUAGAGAUGGUCCACACACACUGUGAGAUUAGAGAUGGUCCACACACACUCACUGUGAGAUUAGAGAUGGUCCACACACGUUGUGAGAUUAGAGAUGGUCCACACUCGCUGUGAGAUUAGAGAUGGUCCACACACACUCACUGUGAGAUUAGAGAUGAUCCACACACACUCACUGUGAGAUUAGAGAUGGUCCACACACACUGGGAGAUUAGAGAUGGUCCACACACACUGUGAGAUUAGAGAUGGUCCACACUCACACACUGUGAGAUUAGAGAUGAUCCACACACACUGUGAGAUUAGAGAUGGUCCACACUCACUCACUGUGAGAUUAGAGAUGGUCCACACUCACUCACUGUGAUAUUAGAGAUGGUCCACACAAACUCACUGUGAGAUUAGAGAUGGUCCACACACUGUGAGAUUAGAGAUGGUCCACAUACACUCACUGUGAGAUUAGAGAUGGUCCACAUACACUCACUGUGAGAUUAGAGAUGGUCCACAUUCACUGUGAGAUUAGAGAUGGUCCACACACACACACUGUGAGAUUAGAGAUGGUCCACACACACGCUGUGAAAUUAGAGAUGGUCCACACUCACUGUGAGAUUAGAGAUGGUCCACACACACUCACUGUGAAAUUAGAGAUGGUCCACAUACACUGUGAGAUUAGAGAUGGUCCACACACACUCACUGUGAGAUUAGAGAUGGUCCACACUCACUGUGAGAUUAGAGAUGGUCCACACACAGUCACUGUGAGAUUAGAGAUCGUCCACACACACACUGUGAGAUUAGAGAUGGUCCACAUACACUCACUGUGAUAUUAGAGAUGGUCCACACAAACUUACUGUGAGAUUAGAGAUGGUCCACACACUGUGAGAUUAGAGAUGGUCCACACACACACAAUGUGAGAUUAGAGAUGGUCCACACACACGCUGUGAAAUUAGAGAUGGUCCACACUCACUGUGAGAUUAGAGAUGGUCCACACACACUCACUGUGAAAUUAGAGAUGGUCCACAUACACUGUGAGAUUAGAGAUGGUCCACACACACUCACUGUGAGAUUAGAGAUGGUCCACACUCACUGUGAGAUUAGAGAUGGUCCACACACAGUCACUGUGAGAUUAGAGAUCGUCCACACACACACUGUGAGAUUAGAGAUGGUCCACAUACACUCACUGUGAUAUUAGAGAUGGUCCACACAAACUCACUGUGAGAUUAGAGAUGGUCCACACACUGUGAGAUUAGAGAUGGUCCACACACACUCACUGUGAGAUUAGAGAUGGUCCACAUAUACUCACUGUGAGAUUAGAGAUUGUCCACAUUCACUGUGAGAUUAGAGAUGGUCCACAUAUACUCACUGUGAGAUUAGAGAUUGUCCACAUUCACUGUGAGAUUAGAGAUGGUCCACACACACACUGUGAGAUUAGAGAUGGUCCACAAACACACACACACACACUGUGAGAUUAGAGAUGGUCCAAACACACACACUGUGAGAUUAGAGAUGGUCCACACACACUCACUGUGAGAUUAGAGAUGGUCCACACACUCACUGUGAGAUUAGAGAUGGUCCACACACACUCACUGUGAGAUUAGAGAUGGUCCACACACACUCACUGUCAGAUUAGAGAUGGUCCACACACACACUGAGAUUAGAGAUGGUCCACACUCGCUGUGAGUUUAGAAACGACAACAAUACGGGGGGGAAAUGGUCUUCAAUUAAAGUCUGUGCAGAAUAUAGAAUCAAUCAAACACGCCCGCGACAAUUACAGCCGUAGAUGUAAAACCCAAAGACGCUUGAUUAGUGACGAGGAUAUAAACACUCAUUUUCCCUCCAUCCAGAUUUCAGCCUUGGACAUUUCACGACGCCGUUCUUCGUUCACUGCCCACCACGAUGUUGCUGACGCCGCGUUUCUGCAAUGUAUCCGAAAUUGCGUAGCAUGGGAGCGUUUAAUCCGUGGUGUUAAAAUCGUUUAACUCUUUAAAAAAAAAAUCGUGACGACAGAAUGCGUACGGAGUGAUUCGCGACGGGUCCUGCUGUACUCCGAGCAGCUUUCAAUUCGUGACGGCCACGCUCUUCCACCUCGUUUGUCGUGCCUUGGUCAACCCCACAUCGUGACCUUGUCUACAGAGGAGGGAGGGGUCACCACGCGGUCUAAACAAAAUGUUUCGCAGCAUGAGUGACCGUGCGAUCUGCCCUCGCCCCGUGACAGCCUGCAGCACCCGUCACCCAACACGUGACAUUGCUGCCCAACAUUAUUUGAUGACUCAGAAUUGAGAAGGGGCGGGGUCGGUUGGUCUGCUCCUUCGCUAACAGCACUUGCCCCAACAGUCUGCUGAGCCUACGCCUGGGGGAUCUUUGUCGUGAUGGGGGUGGGGCGAUGGAGGGGACGAGAGGGCUGUGGCGGGGCAAUGCCCGGCGAGACGCUCACAGACGAAGAAGAAGAGCAGCGCGGUCGUCGUGUGGCUCACGAUGUCAACCAACGGGGAAAUCGACACGGGGUGUAAUCCUUGAUUUUAUACUUAGAGAUUGGUGCUCAGUGAUAAUGGUCAUAAUAAAAUAUUGGCAGCGUUAUUCCGAG